AGCUGGUCUGAUGGUAGUGGGAUGUCAGAACUUAUUAACAUUAGUGUCACUAAAAAAUUGGUUUCCAACCCCCCACUGCUAAAUUUGAUUGGCUUGGG
rnacentral:Y_RNA from 1 species